GUAAUAUAGGUAAAGGUUGCAAUCUAUUAAUAUUAAGAAGAAAUAUAAUUGUCCACAUACGAUCGAUAAAGAUUUGAUAAAUUACCAUUGCCGCUCCUAAGUUUCUAUGGAAACUAGGGGUAGUGUGUGGUGAGCAAAAAGCUCAAGGAAAAUCAUUUAAUCGUCAUGAACUACAAUGGGGAAUAAGUUAGUCACGUUUACAGAACAACAAUUAGAAAACUAUCAGGACUGUACGUUCUUCACCAGAAAAGAGAUAUUAAGGGUUUUCAAAAGGUUUCGGGAAGUUCGUCCCGAUAUUGUUCCGAAACAAAUGAAGAAAAACGAGGCUAUUAGCAUAAGGAUCCCAUUAGAAGACAGUAUAGAAAAAAUUCCAGAGUUGCACGAAAAUCCCUUUAAAAAAAGAAUAUGCGAGGUAUUCUCCAGAGAUGGUAAAGGCAAUUUAUCCUUCGAGGAUUUCUUAGAUCUUCUUUCGGUUUUCAGCGAACAAGCACCGCGAGAUAUAAAAGUUUUUUACGCCUUCAGAAUCUAUGACUUUGAUAGUGAUCAACAUGUAGGACCUGAAGAUAUUGACCAAGCAUUGCUUCUGCUCACAAGAAACACUCAAGAACUGACUUCAGAUGAUAGGCAACAAAUUGCUGAGAAAGUUAUUGAAGAAGCUGACGUAGACGGAGACGGGAAACUUUCUUACAUGGAAUUCGAACAUGUUAUUACUAGAGCUCCUGAUUUUCUAUCUACCUUUCAUAUACGAAUCUAAAUUGGUAUUCCAAUUUUUUCUCAACAUUUUAUAGUAUUAAAACAUAUUUUUUAGAAUAUUUUCUUAAAGACGGUCUACCCGAUAAUGAUUUGUAAAAUGUAUAGAAGCUGUUACUUAUGUAAAUGGUUAUUCAUAAUACUUUACCCACUCAAUAAUUAUCAAUGAUAUUGACUGGGAAAACUCCUUCCAAAAUUCUCUCUCUAUUACAAAAGGUGAAAAAAAUCGAGGGUCGUAAUACUUCCGCAUGCAUAUGGUGCAAGAUGACUUGAAUUUGUUUUUUAAUGUCAUGUUUGAAUGAAGUAGAUCUUAUAAUAUAAAUCAGAAUCGCCCUUGAAUUAUAUCGCAUACUUACAUCGCACACGAAACAACAGCAAACUAUGUCUUCAAGAUUUCGUUAUAUACUCGAGUAAACUAGACAAAUCAUUUGUCAUGACAAGAUCAUAUAGCUAUAUAGUCUUCAAUCCUUCGGUUCUCACAGCUGAACAAACUAAGCCUAAUAAAGUCCUGUAAAAAUGAGUUGAAUCCCUUAAAAUAUGAAAGUUUUUCAUAUGUGACGGUGAGGGCAAAAAUGAACUUUUCUUUUACUUUUCAAUGAAAAAAUUACUUUGCUGCCAAAAAAAUAUUUUAUUAUUCUAAUAUAAUUGUUGAUUCUACACACUUGGCUUACAAUUGUUUUAAACCGUCAAAAAAUCAUUAGAUACGCAUUUGUCGCGUCGUGAAUUUUUAAUAAUAGGAGAUCUUUUGACCAGUAUUAACUAGGCACUAGAUGAGUAUUGAAACUAAUUUUGACUAAUGACAUCAAAAACAUGGCGGAAAGUAAAAAUAUAAUCAACAUAGUAAAUGUGUUAUCGUCAACCGCCGUCAACCGCCAUCGUAAAUAGCGGACCUUGUUAAUACCUGCAUUUCCUGUCUAAGGCCGCACACAUAAGAAAGCAGGCUGCCUGCUUACCGGCAAUCGGCGCCGAUAAGCGAUAGCUUGUCAAUGGUCCUAGACCAAAACAAAACUUGUCGGAACUUGCAAUAAGUGUAAACCGGUAGCAACGAAUUUACUGGAAUGAAUUUUCAACCCUUGGUCUCUUGUGUCAGCGUCGGACGUGGUCACAUGAUUGUUAAAUAAUGAUGGAUAGUGAAAUUUUGAUCGCCGUAAUUUUGGGACCUGCCUUUUGGGACAAGCGACUAAAAUCUCACAGCAAUCUACAUAUUACGCAAAAGUUUUGGAACGAAAUAGAAGCCGAAAUGGGAUGAUUAGAUGAGAACGUGCUACGAAAAAUGAAAGUAUUUGCGGGAUCAGUUUGCAGUGGAAUUAGGAAAAAUUCCCUAAUCUCGGUCAGAGAAUUUUCAUUCGCCCUUUUUUUUUAAAUAUAGUGAAAGUUAGAGUUUCCAGUGAAAACUGAAGGGUAAAUACUGCAGCAAGUACACAAAUCGUAGGUGUUCAAGCUAAUUAAGGUUAAUGAGGUUUCUGUUGACGAGUCAUCCAUCCAAAUACACACACAACAAACAGAAGAUAACACUGGAAUAAGCACUAAUGAAGCCACCGAAACCGAUACAAAUGAUGGGAAAACCACAAUUCAUAUCGAACAAGCAGAAAAUCAUAACAAUGAGGCGAUAAGAAAAAAGGGUUAGGUUGUUGAGUUGUAAUGAUAAAAUUAUAAAAAGUGGGGAACAAACAUUGGAAUAUUUAGAACAAAAAGCUAAGCGAUCGUGGGGGACAGAGAAGGACGAUAAUCACUAAUAUUUUUUAAAAUGUGCGUAAAAUCCAAGCUAACCAAAUACUGUCAUUUUGAGGAAGAAAUUGUUAAGCAAUAUGCGUUUCUUCCUACUAUGGCAGUUCAUAUGUUUCUUCAUCUACAACCAGUUUCACCAAUAUUUAGACAUUCAACAGUGGGUACACUUCAUGAUACAGAGUUGGAAUUUAAAAGAGGGUGCCAUAUAAGCAUGCUUGUAAAAACCCAAAGCACCGGUGAAACGUCUUUAUUAUUUUUUACAAUUUACUGCAAGUGGAAUACAUUACUUUUCCUUCCACAAUGUUGUCUUUUAUUUUUAUAAGAGUGCACUUCUUUGAAUACUAUCUAACAUCCACAACCCACUAUUCUGAAAGAAGUCUUCCAGGAAUGCUUUUCUCAUCGGUAUAAGUACAUUGUAAAAUUUUAGUGGGAAUUUCCUUAAAAUGUCACCUUCAACUUUAUAAUAAUCUAUGUCAAUUUUUGAUGACACUCCUAUAUACAGUAAUUAACUAGACUUAUCGAAUCACAGAUGGGUCUUUCUUGUCCAACUUUUCUAAGAUAAGCGAAACCUGUACGUUUUUAAUUUGGGAUAUGUUUGUGUAGAAUAGAUAACAAUCGCUUUGAAAGAUUUAAAGAAAUAAUAUUUUGUAUUAGAACAUUUUCGAUGCUUUAGUGGUGACGUCAUAGGAACAUUUUCAAAUGUCGGAGCUCCAAACAAAACAAACUUUGUUUGCACUUGAUUUCCUAAAGGAGAAUAGAUCAGUUUACUUUCACUUUCUGGAGACUAUAAGUUGGUAAUUGUGAUUGUGGGUUGGGAAGUAGUGUAAACAGUGUGUUCAGUAGUAAUAUCACCAACGGUUACAGACAUUCCAACUUAGUGAUAAACAAGCUGAUCACCUGACGAGGAAGGCCAGUGCAACUACUUUCAUUGGAUCACAACCUUUACAAUACAAAAAAAUCUUCCAUUAAGUAAAGAGGAGCUAAAGAAAAUUGCUAGUAUACUCACUGGAUACUGCCUAUUCAAGUACUACCCAAAGAAGAUUGGAGAAACUUCCGAUAGGUCUUAUCAUUUCUGCAAACCAGAAAUAGCCUAGCUCCCUAUCGGUGACUGCGGGACAGUCCAUCGACAAAGACUACGGUACUCACAUUCACUAUUUGUAAAACCAGAAAGCGGAGUCAUAUUCUCCUCAGACAGAUAGCUAACUUUGUAAGUUCGGGGUAGAUAUUAGAACAAUAAAUCUGUUAGUCGAUUUAUGCACUUUACGCCCAUCUAAUUUAAUUCAAAAAUCAAAUAGGAACUGUAUAGUAUACUAAUUAACCUUUGUCAUAGUUGACUGACACAAAUCAGUCAGUCCAUUAAUUUUGUUGUGAUAAGCAAUUAAACAUCAUACUAAGUGUGGAGCAAUAAAGAAUAUCGGACAAAGUAUAAUGGAUGACGAAUAUCAGCGAUGAAAAAGAAAAUCGCGUUAAUUUCAUACUCUAAUUCAUCAUAGCUUAUACGAAAAUUUAUAACUACGGCUGAUACAACUUUGGUUGAUACUGGAUCACUGACUGAUAAAGAUAAAUUUGACGAAUGAACGUGAAUUAUUUAAUAAAACAAAUAAUGAAGCCUACUUUUUGAUUUCUUAUGUCUUUCAAUUUUUUUAUAUUUGUUCAGCAAUUGAGGUGAAAAAUACUGUCUUUUUAUGUUCUUUUUUUGAACUAAAUGAUGCAAUGAAAGGAAUAAAUUUUUUGCGGAAUCUAUAAAUUAUAUAAAUAUAUAUUAUAUAAAUCAAUGAAUAGACCAUGUAAAUAAAAAGUGGAUAAAAAGUCA